UACGUAGGGUGCAAGCGUUGUCCGGAAUUAUUGGGCGUAAAGAGCUCGUAGGCGGUCUGUCGCGUCGGAUGUGAAAAUCCAGGGCUCAACCCUGGACCUGCAUUCGAUACGGGCAGACUAGAGUUCGGUAGGGGAGACUGGAAUUCCUGGUGUAGCGGUGAAAUGCGCAGAUAUCAGGAGGAACACCGGUGGCGAAGGCGGGUCUCUGGCCGAAACUGACGCUGAGAGCGAAGCGUGGGAGCAAACAGG
rnacentral:rRNA from 1 species